GGUUGUGGCUUAGCGGUUAAGUGCAUGCCUUGCACAUGCGAGGUGCUGGGUUCAAUCCUCAGCACCA
rnacentral:tRNA from 1 species